AUUUCAUAUUUCCAUCGACUAGGACCUUGCAAUCGAGCUAUUGACAGUCUCAAGUGCAAAGAGAGAGAAUGGAGAUAGAAGCAAGGAGGAGGUCAAAAGGAGGACCAGUCAGCAUGAUCAGCUCUUCAAAAAGAGGGUCAAAAUUGCUGAGAAGAUUCUCAAUCAA